UACGUAGGGGGCAAGCGUUGUCCGGAUUUAUUGGGCGUAAAGAGCGUGUAGGCGGCCAGGUAGGUCCGCUGUGAAACUCGAGGCUCAACCUCGAGAUGUCGGCGGAAACCAUCUGGCUAGAGUCCGGAAGAGGAGAGUGGAAUUCCUGGUGUAGCGGUGAAAUGCGCAGAUAUCAAGAGGAACACCUGAGGUGAAGACGGGUUGCUGGGCUGACACUGACGC
rnacentral:rRNA from 1 species